rnacentral:rRNA from 1 species
AUCUUCCACAAUGGGCGAAAGCCUGAUGGAGCAACGCCGCGUGAAGGAUGAAGGCCUUCGGGUUGUAAACUUCUUUUAUGAGUGAAGAAUAUGACGGUAACUCAUGAAUAAGCACCGGCUAACUACGUGCCAGCAGCCGCGGUCAUACGUAGGGUGCAAGCAUUAUCCGGAGUGACUGGGCGUAAAGAGUUGCGUAGGCGGUUUAAUAAGUGAAUAGUGAAACCUGGUGGCUCAACCAUACAGACUAUUAUUCAAACUGUUAAACUCGAGAGUAGUAGAGGUAACUGGAAUUUCUAGUGUAGGAGUGAAAUCCGUAGAUAUUAGAAGGAACACCAAUGGCGUAGGCAGGUUACUGGACUAUUUCUGACGCUAAGGCACGAAAGCGUGGGGAGCGAAC